UACGAAGGGUGCAAGCGUUACUCGGAAUUACUGGGCGUAAAGCGUGCGUAGGUGGCUUGUUAAGUCUGCUGUGAAAGCCCCGGGCUCAACCUGGGAAUGGCAGUGGAUACUGGCAAGCUAGAGUGCGGUAGAGGGUAGUGGAAUUCCCGGUGUAGCGGUGAAAUGCGUAGAGAUCGGGAGGAACACCCGUGGCGAAGGCGGCCAUCUGGACCAGCACUGACGCUGAGGCACGAAAGCGUGGGGAGCAAACAGG
rnacentral:rRNA from 1 species